GACGUGCUAAUCUGCGAUAAGCGUCGGUAAGGUGAUAUGAACCGUUAUAACCGGCGAUUUCCGAAUGGGGAAACCCAGUGUGAUUCGUCACACUAUCAUUAACUGAAUCCAUAGGUUAAUGAGGCGAACCGGGGGAACUGAAACAUCUAAGUACCCCGAGGAAAAGAAAUCAACCGAGAUUCCCCCAGUAGCGGCGAGCGAACGGGGAGGAGCCCAGAGCCUGAAUCAGUGUGUGUGUUAGUGGAAGCGUCUGGAAAGGCGCGCGAUACAGGGUGACAGCCCCGUACACAAAAAUGCACAUGCUGUGAGCUCGAUGAGUAGGGCGGGACACGUGGUAUCCUGUCUGAAUAUGGGGGGACCAUCCUCCAAGGCUAAAUACUCCUGACUGACCGAUAGUGAACCAGUACCGUGAGGGAAAGGCGAAAAGAACCCCGGCGAGGGGAGUGAAAAAGAACCUGAAACCGUGUACGUACAAGCAGUGGGAGCACAGAGCAAUCUGUGUGACUGCGUACCUUUUGUAUAAUGGGUCAGCGACUUAUAUUCUGUAGCAAGGUUAACCGAAUAGGGGAGCCGAAGGGAAACCGAGUCUUAACUGGGCGUUAAGUUGCAGGGUAUAGACCCGAAACCCGGUGAUCUAGCCAUGGGCAGGUUGAAGGUUGGGUAACACUAACUGGAGGACCGAACCGACUAAUGUUGAAAAAUUAGCGGAUGACUUGUGGCUGGGGGUGAAAGGCCAAUCAAACCGGGAGAUAGCUGGUUCUCCCCGAAAGCUAUUUAGGUAGCGCCUCGUGAAUUCAUCUCCGGGGGUAGAGCACUGUUUCGGCAAGGGGGUCAUCCCGACUUACCAACCCGAUGCAAACUGCGAAUACCGGAGAAUGUUAUCACGGGAGACACACGGCGGGUGCUAACGUCCGUCGUGAAGAGGGAAACAACCCAGACCGCCAGCUAAGGUCCCAAAGUCAUGGUUAAGUGGGAAACGAUGUGGGAAGGCCCAGACAGCCAGGAUGUUGGCUUAGAAGCAGCCAUCAUUUAAAGAAAGCGUAAUAGCUCACUGGUCGAGUCGGCCUGCGCGGAAGAUGUAACGGGGCUAAACCAUGCACCGAAGCUGCGGCAGCGACACUGUGUGUUGUUGGGUAGGGGAGCGU
rnacentral:rRNA from 1 species